rnacentral:rRNA from 1 species
UAGGGAAUCUUCGGCAAUGGACGAAAGUCUGACCGAGCAACGCCGCGUGAGUGAAGAAGGUUUUCGGAUCGUAAAACUCUGUUGGUAGAGAAGAGCGUUGGUGAGAGUGGAAAGCUCAUCAAGUGACGGUAACUACCCAGAAAGGGACGGCUAACUACGUGUCAG